UUGAGUGACGUCGACGCAGGGGGAGCGACUGUGUUUCCACGACUUGACCUGCUGGUCCAACCUGUCAAGGGUAGCGCAGUGUUUUGGUAUAACCUGUUAGAUGACGGAAUGUCUGACGUCAUGACUGUCCACGGCAGCUGUCCAGUUAUCUCAGGCGACAAAUGGGUGGCCAACAAAUGGAUCCGAGAGACUGCUCAAAUCUUUCAUCAUCCAUGCCCUGCCAAGCUCACCAGGGUCACAUCUAGACCUUGACAAAGGAUUAGACCAGGGUCAGAUCUAGACCUUGACAAAGGAUUAGACCAGGGUCACAUCUAGACCGUGACAAAGGAUUAGACCAGGGUCACAUCUAGACCUUGGCAAAGGGUUAGACCAGAGAUAAAGUCCAAUCAAUAAUUAAUAAUCAGAAAUCGACUAGCAGUCAAAUCAAUAGAUAAUCAGUUUGUGUAGACCUCCAUAGCUAUAUCUCAAUUAUAAUAUUGAAUAAGAUAUCCUCCCACACAAUGAAUGAUUACAGGUCGACGUAUUAUACGCCAUUAAACCCGUUGAGUCUGCAUGUCUGCUGGAUCUGUCUCUGUUCAACCAAGCUGCAAGGCAGCUGUUGUUUGAUUCUAGAGCUUCACGUCUAAUUGCGUCGUUGUUUCUAUCAAACGUUGUCAUGAGGCAGAUUUCCCAAUUUGGGGCUUUUGGAAUUAAUUCAUACAAUUAUAAUAAUUUGUUUAUAAAAUAAUAAUUAAUUGAUAAAAUGAAAAUAAUUUAUUUAUGAGUAACUUAUAGCAGUCACCCUUACGUAAAUGUUCCGACAUCAGGUCAAAUUGUACUCCCAUCAUUAUGAUCAAACUAACAUAUGUUGGUACAUUAAGAAAGCCUUUAAUUAAAAAUUAUAUAAAUUCCCAAACACCAGACAGCGCAUGGUAUAUGAUUAUGAUCCAUAAUGAGCACAUAAGUAACGGGCGUUUACUAAUAACUUUUACAUCAAGUGCCAGUGCAUAGCCUGGCCGUCACCGCUUGUAAAAUAAAUGAAGGUAGUAUGUUAUUCAAAAUACCUUUGUUUUACCUACCACAUUGCACUUUAUCAAUCCAUACAAAUUCUGAAAAACCUUUCUUACAUGAAAACAAACUCAAAGGAAGUAGUUUUUUUCCUUCCGUAAUAUUAUUUUUGUGAGUUAUCUAGGAAAGUGGUUUGUAUAAUUUUGUAAAGAAAUUAUUUUUUUUAUGAUGAAUAAAUAAUUUAUGGUUGCUUUCGUACUUUGCCCUUUACUUGAAUUGAAACUUCAUCUUAAAAAUGAACAUUCGUUUUAGAUAAUAUAUUGGAUUUUCUAAACAUCAAUUUAAACUUAUGUACAAAAAUUAAACCUUAGCUCAGUGGCGAUCAAGCUGAGUUUUUAAAUAUAAAAGUGUCUACCCUGAAUUUUCUACAUUCAUAUAAACUAAGUCUAUUAUAUACUAUAAAUAAUUGAGUAUAAUAUUUUAUACUAUAAAGAUAUUUUUUUUUAAAUCUUUAUAGUACAACUAGCCGUCCCGGCCAGGCCCUGCUCUGGCUUCUGUGAAAAACCUUUCUGUUAAAGACCAUUACCUGUGUGUUUAGUAAUCAUCAUAAACCCGGAAUUGCCCACCCAAACCACAACCAACCAAAACCAAAACAACAAAACGCAAACAUAACGAUAACACAAUUACAAAUACAAACGAAAACAAAAACCUAACAACAAACACAACCUAAAACACCAAUACAAACACAAAGAAAAAACAAACAAAAAAGCAAACGAAAACAAAAACCUAACAACAAGCCCAACCACAACCACAAACACCAAUACGAAUACAAAGAAAAAAACAAACGAAAAAGCAAACGAAAACAAACCAAAUCCAAACGCAAAACCAACCACAAACACAAACCCAAAGAAAAAAACACAAACGAAAAAGCAAACGAAA